GACGAACGCUGGCGGCGUGCUUAACACAUGCAAGUCGAACGGAAAGGCCCUGCUUUUGUGGGGUGCUCGAGUGGCGAACGGGUGAGUAACACGUGAGUAACCUGCCCUUGACUUUGGGAUAACUUCAGGAAACUGGGGCGAAUACCGGAUAGGAGCUCCUGCUGCAUGGUGGGGGUUGGAAAGUUUCGGCGGUUGGGGAUGGACUCGCGGCUUAUCAGCUUGUUGGUGGGGUAGUGGCUUACCAAGGCUUUGACGGGUAGCCGGCCUGAGAGGGUGACCGGCCACAUUGGGACUGAGAUACGGCGCAGACUCCUACGGGAGGCAGCAGUGGGGAAUCUUGCACAAUGGGCGGAAGCCUGAUGCAGCAACGCCGCGUGCGGGAUGACGGCCUUCGGGUUGUAAACCGCUUUCGACUGUGACGAAGCGUGAGUGACGGUAAUGGGUAAAGAAGCACCGGCUAACUACGUG
rnacentral:rRNA from 1 species